AGUGAACGCUGGCGGUAGGCCUAACACAUGCAAGUCGAACGGCAGCACGGUAAGAGCUUGCUCUUACGGGUGGCGAGUGGCGGACGGGUGAGGAAUACAUCGGAAUCUACUUUUUCGUGGGGGAUAACGUAGGGAAACUUACGCUAAUACCGCAUACGACCUACGGGUGAAAGCAGGGGAUCUUCGGACCUUGCGCGAUUGAAUGAGCCGAUGUCGGAUUAGCUAGUUGGCGGGGUAAAGGCCCACCAAGGCGACGAUCCGUAGCUGGUCUGAGAGGAUGAUCAGCCACACUGGAACUGAGACACGGUCCAGACUCCUACGGGAGGCAGCAGUGGGGAAUAUUGGACAAUGGGCGCAAGCCUGAUCCAGCCAUACCGCGUGGGUGAAGAAGGCCUUCGGGUUGUAAAGCCCUUUUGUUGGGAAAGAAAAGCAGCAGGUUAAUACCCCGCUGUUCUGACGGUACCCAAAGAAUAAGCGCCGGCUAACUUCGUG
rnacentral:rRNA from 1 species